rnacentral:rRNA from 1 species
UACAGAGGUCUCAAGCGUUGUUCGGAUUCAUUGGGCGUAAAGGGUGCGUAGGUGGCGGGGUAAGUCAGGUGUGAAAUCUCGAAGGCUCAACCUCGAAACUGCACUUGAUACUGCCUUGCUCGAGUACUGGAGAGGAGAUUGGAAUUACGGUGUAGCAGUGAAAUGCGUAGAAUAUCGUAAGGAAGACCAGUGGCGAAGGCGAAUCUCUGGACAGUUACUGACACUGAGGCAGCGAAAGGCCAGGGAGGCAAACGGG